rnacentral:misc_RNA from 1 species
GAAAUGCGAUAAGUAGUGUGAAUUGCAGAAUUCAGUGAAUCAUCGAAUCUUUGAACGCACAUUGCGCCCCUUGGUAUUCCAUGGGGCAUGCCUGUUCGAGCGUCAUCUACACCCUCAAGCUCUGCUUGGUGUUGGGCGUCUGUCCCGCCCCCGCGCGUGGACUCGCCCCAAAUCCAUUGGCAGCGUUCCUUGCCCCCUCUCGCGCAGCACAUUGCGCUUCUCGAGGGCGGCUCCGGGACGCGAUCCAGCAAGAUGACCACCGUCUUUGACCUCGGAUCAGGUAGGGAUACCCGCUGAGCUUAAGC